rnacentral:lncRNA from 1 species
CCCCCCCCCCCCCCCCCCCCCCCCCCCCCCCCCCCCCCCCCCCCCCCCCCCCCCCCCCCCCCCCCCCCCCCCGGCCGCCCGCGAUGUUCGGGGCGGGCAGGUACAGCAUCCCGCGGCCCGUCACCAGAAACCUGGAGGACCUGGACUCGGUGCAGAGCGUCCUGCUGCACAGUGACCUUGAGCCUGAGUGGUUGGAUAGUGUGCAGAAAAAUGGAGAAUUAUUUUAUUUAGAAUUUAGUGAAAGUGAAGAAGAAAUUCUGCUUCAGAACAGCUGUCCAGAAAUGCCAGCAGUGAAUCAUGUCAGGUUUCGUGAAAAUGAAGCUGAAAUUAUUCAGGAGGGAUCACGAAAGGAAAGGAAGUAUGAACUGAAGAAAUGGACCAAAAUGCUAAAAAAGAAGAGUCUUUUACCAAAGGGUUCUGGUAAGAAAGGCAGUGGAACCUGCAAUGUUCUCCCCUCAGGUCCUACUUCCAUAUUGAAACACCGGUCUCCUCAGAAAAUGGGUGUCCCUGUUCAGCAAAAGUACAAAGAUGUGUCUGUUUAUGUAAAUCCCAGAAAACUCUACAGCGCUGAGGAAGAAGAGCAGCAGAGGCUGCUGGAGGCCUUGGUAGGGAUUGUCCAUCAGUCUUCAUGGAGCAGCAAAAGAGUGGAAAAACAAGGCAGGAGGGAUAAAGCCACCAGAGGAGUCAGUGAAGAGAAGCUUGUGGUACAUGGCUUGGUGCCAGGUAGUUCUGCAAUGAAAACAGGUCAAAUCCUGAUUGGAGAUGUUCUUGUUGCUGUAAAUGAUGUCGAUGUGAAUUCUGAAAACAUAGAGAGGGUUUUGUCUUGCAUUCCAGGUCCUAUGCAGGUUAAACUGACAUUUGAAACCUCGGUAUUUGAGCCUGAAGGAACUUCUGAGCAAAGGAACAAACAGACACAGUCAAGUAUGAACAACCUGGUUCGGCUCCUGUGGGGAGGGGACAGUGUGGACCUUCAGCAGGCUGCGCAGGACGUGCCUCACAUUGUCAUGUUCCUCACGCUGAAACUGGACUCUGAGACAUCCAAGGAUGAGCAAGAAAUUAUUUAUCAGUACCCCAUAUCUGAAGCAUCCCAAAAACUGAAAAGUGUGAGAGGGAUAUUUCUCACACUGUCUGACAUACUGGAAAGUGUUACUGGUACCGAGAUUAUCAGUUCCUCCCUUUUCUUAUGUGAAAAACUGGUUCAAGUUGUUUACUGGAAAGAAUCCGACAAGUUGCUUGUAAUUGGCCUUCCUGAAGAAAAUGUUAUUCUAACUUGGAGUUCAUGUUUGUCCAGUGCUUUUUGCCAGGUGGAAAAUGUUUCUCGCCUGGAUCACUUUUUCAACCUGUUCUUCCAGCGUGCCCUUCAUCCUGCGAGGCUGCAGCAGCAGGAUUCCUGCAGUGCCCUGUUCCUGGACAGCCUCCCAGGCCUGCGCUGGCUGACACUGCCUCAGGAAAUCAAGAUGGAAAUUGACACAGCACUGAGUGAUCUGGAAGCAGCUGACUUUGCAGAGCUGUCUGAAGACUAUUACGACAUGAGAAGAUUAUAUGUGAUCCUGGGCUCUUGUCUCUUUUACAAGGGUUACUUGAUUGGCAAUCACUUGCCAAAGGAAGACCUUCUUGAUGUGGGUCUCUACUGCCGGCACUACUGCCUGUUACCCCUGGCAGCAGAGCAGAGGAUUGGGCAGUUGGUGAUUUGGAGGGAGGUGUUCCCACAGCACCACCUCCAGCCCUGUGAGGAGGCAAGUCUGACAGGAUACAGGGAACCUGAAGCAAGAUACUUCCUACUGAUAGUUGGCUUGAGACACUUCGUCCUGUGUGUCCUGCUGGAGGCAGGGGGCUGUGCAUCCAGAGCUGUUGGGAAUCCAGGACCAGACUGUAUCUAUGUAGACCAGGUCAAAGCAACCAUACUGCAGCUGGAGGGAAUAGACGCCAGCAUAGAGGAAAGGCUGGACUCUCCCUCCAUCCCACCUGUAGCCUGUGCUGACUGGUUCCUUCCUGCAGCACGGGACAGACUGGAGGGCUUGAGCAAGCUGCAGAACUCCUGCAAAGCUGUGAGCAGUGCAGGGAGCAAGAGGAGCCUCUUUGGGGACAGCUGCCACAGCACACGGACGCAGAGCCCCCCGAGGAGCAGCGGGGCAGCCGAGCAGGGCGGCCAAGGGCCCGCCCAGGAGGAGAGCUCCAACCCACAGCCUGUGGGGGAGCAGGUCAGGCAACACGGGCACAGAGAACUGAUGAGAAAAAAACACAUCCUGCCAAACCCAUUUCAUUCAGGAAACCUUAAAAAGAACCCUUCAGAGAAAGAUACAGAACUUCUUAAUGCUAUCAAGUUGACAUCUGGUCCUGAGAAUACCCUCUUCCACUAUCUGUCUUUGGAGACAAUGCAAGGAAUUUUUAUUACUCCAACUCACAAAGAAGUAGCACAGCUUGGUGGCUCCAUCCACCCUCAGUUAAUUGAGAAUUUCUACCAGUGCUGCCUUUCAAUUCGUUCCAUUUUCCAGCAGUCCAUGAGGAAAGAGAAAAAGAAAAAGGCAGGGAGUGGGAUUUCAGAAUUUAGUAAGGCAGCUGAGGACCCAGGUCUGGUAAGAGAACAUGGACUUCUGUUUGAGUGCUCUCCUGAAAACUGGACUGACCAGAAGAAACCACCACCAACAAUGAACUACUGGGUUGUGGGGAGACUCAUUCUCCAUCCCAAACCUCAGGAGUGUUACGUGUGUUUCCAUGACUCAGUGACAGAAGCUGCUGUGGAACUGGCUUUUAAACUGUCCUUUGGCUUAGCUGCAUAG